CCUUUUGUCCCUGGGUCAUCUCGCUCAGCACAACAGUUCUUUAUUUGGUCCGAGAUUCCUGAGAAAAGUGGACGGCUUGACGGAAGGCUCACUCUACGAGUUCAAAAUCGCCGCCGUCAACCUGGCCGGCAUCGGGGAGCCCUCGGAUCCCAGUGAGCACUUCAAAUGUGAGGCCUGGACCAUGCCGGAGCCCGGUCCUGCCUACGACUUGACGUUCUGUGAGGUCAGGGACACAUCCUUGGUCAUGCUGUGGAAGGCCCCCGUGUACUCCGGCAGCAGCCCUGUUUCUGGAUAUUUCGUGGACUUCAGGGAGGAGGAUGCUGGAGAGUGGAUCACUGUCAAUCAGACGACAACGGCCAACCGUUAUUUAAAGGUCUCUGACCUGCAGCAAGGCAAGACCUAUGUCUUCAGGGUCCGGGCAGUCAAUGCAAAUGGCGUGGGGAAGCCCUCGGACACGUCGGAGCCCGUGCUGGUAGAGGCAAGACCAGGCACCAAGGAAAUCAGUGCCGGUGUCGAUGAACAAGGCAACAUCUACCUGGGCUUCG
rnacentral:sRNA from 1 species